GCCAGGCUUGAGGGGCUGAGAGCCUGGCCCCAUCCAGGCCAAGUUUUGCAACACACCACUCCUGUUUUCCUGCUGGAAGCUGCUGUUAGGGAGUGGAGUACUGGCUACCCCUCAGCCCCCACUCUCUGGAAGGUGUCCUGUAUCUUCCAGCCUGUAUUAACACCAAGAGACACUAAUAAAUCACCCGCUUUGCGGCCACGGAGCGAGGGGCCCUUCUGACGCAGGCUCCUGCAGUCUCUUCUGAAGAAGCUGUUCCACUAAAUGACUAACUAGGGACUGGGUCUCCCACCUGCCAGCUCUGCAGGCGUUUCCUGGGGCUGCCUAUGCACCGCAUCCCUGAACAGCUGCCACCGUGGGACCCGCGCUCGCUCCAGUUCCAUCGCUGGAGUUAUGGGCAUCUCUACUUGAAGGACAAAGGAAGCAUCUUUGGACUAGGAAGGCAUCUUGGCAGAUUGAAUUCAGCCAGUAAGACGUCUAGAACCUGUAGAGAGCAAAACUUUUGCUUUGAAAUCACUUAGCUUGUUAAGUUAGGCGUUAGUUGAAUUUUACCUUUUUAUUUCUUUGUAACCAAUUCUGACUUUUAUGCCUCAUUACUUGUAAUCAUUUAA